rnacentral:rRNA from 1 species
AGCAGUAGCCGCGGGAAUACGAAGGGUGCAAGCGUUAAUCGGAUUUACUGGGCGUAAAGCGUGCGUAGGCGGCUUCUUAAGUCGGAUGUGAAAUCCCUGAGCUUAACUUAGGAAUUGCAUUCGAUACUGGGAAGCUAGAGUAUGGGAGAGGAUGGUAGAAUUCCAGGUGUAGCGGUGAAAUGCGUAGAGAUCUGGAGGAAUACCGAUGGCGAAGGCAGCCAUCUGGCCUAAUACUGACGCUGAGGUACGAAAGCAUGGGGAGCAAACAGGAUUAGAUACCCCAGUAGUCCUGUCUCUUAUACA